GAUGAACGCUGGCGGCGUGCCUAAUACAUGCAAGUCGAGCGAACAGACGAGGAGCUUGCUCCUCUGACGUUAGCGGCGGACGGGUGAGUAACACGUGGAUAACCUACCUAUAAGACUGGGAUAACUUCGGGAAACCGGAGCUAAUACCGGAUAAUAUAUUGAACCGCAUGGUUCAAUAGUGAAAGACGGUUUUGCUGUCACUUAUAGAUGGAUCCGCGCCGCAUUAGCUAGUUGGUAAGGUAACGGCUUACCAAGGCGACGAUGCGUAGCCGACCUGAGAGGGUGAUCGGCCACACUGGAGCUGAGACACGGUCCAGACUCCUGAGGGAGGCAGCAGUAGGGAAUCUUCCGCAAUGGGCGAAAGCCUGACGGAGCAACGCCGCGUGAGUGAUGAAGGUCUUCGGAUCGUAAAACUCUGUUAUUAGGGAAGAACAAAUGUGUAAGUAACUAUGCACGUCUUGACGGUACCUAAUCAGAAAGCCACGGCUAACUACGUG
rnacentral:rRNA from 1 species